CCGCUGCCCGCGCUGGCUGGGCCGCCGGGCCCCGUUAACCCGCCCCGGGGCUGCGGGGGACGCUCCCGCCCGCCCCGCCGCCCUCGCCCCGCGGUCCGGGGCGGUAACUGCUGAUGGCUGGGGACAGUCUCCCCGCAGCCCCUCACCGUUUGCUGCCUCUCCCUUUGCCCAUCAGUGCAGUGCUGCCAGUCUGGGGAGAUCAAAAAUCGUCAGGCUGGUGAUGUGUGAACUCCCCCUGCCCAUUGCUGGGGCCUGCGCAUGGGACGAAUCUUCCAAUGAAUCUGGCUUGUUCCUGAAUCGUCAGAAAUGAUGUGGCUGGUUUGAUUUUUAUUUUUAUUGGUGAACCAAAAAAACUUCCCCAACGUAAAGACAGACUUGUCUCUGCUGGCGGCUGGAGAAAGUUUAUGAUGUCAGAGAUACCAAGGAAGUGGAGUCCUAUUCAUGGAGCCUGGGAAUGUUUUAUAUUUGACCUUGUGUCUCCCCUGAUUUACACCAACAUGAAACUGGGGUCACACCCUUGCAUUGUUCUUUCACGGUGCGAAACAACCUGUGUUGGAGAAGGUUUAACUAACAAAGUGACAGCAAUCCCAGAAGCCUGCAGGGUGAGAAAUCUGGGCUGGGAUUCUCAGCGGAGCCCAACUCCCACUGACUGUAAGCUCUCAAGCCUCGUGGAUGGGACUGGCUGGACGGAACUGGUCGUAGCACUAGGGCAAACCCCAUGAGACGUUCUGGGUUUUGUUGAGGACGGUUGGGCUUGGCCCGAGCGCUGUCCUGAGCCCUUCCCAUGGCAAUGCCGCCUGGGCAGCUAUUCCACAGCUCCCAGCAAAGCUGCCAGCAGCAGCGGGUUCUGGCUCUCACCGGGAGAGAGCAGCGUGAGGACUAAUGGAGCCACCAGGGCAGUCGCCUAGGGCGCCAAGUGGUUGGGGGUGGCCAAAAGCGCGCUCCGGGGCGGUGGGGGAGCGGAGGUGAGCUGGGGCAGGGGGUGUCACAGGUGAACGCACUGGGAGCUGGUUCCCUGGUCUCUGCUCAGCCACAGAUAGAGGCUUUGCCUGCAUCCUGCCCCACCCCUGCUGAAGCCCAGAGACACGUGCUCUCUGAUCCUGUGGCCAGCCCCCCAAGAGCUGGCAGGAUUGGCUGCCCUGGCCCAGGGAGGUGGGCUGGAAGUUACUCCCAGAGGCAACAUGUGGGGUGGUCAUGUGUGUCCCCCCCCUUUAUAGUGUGCCCCCUCAGUAUCAGGAGGCAUACGGAGCUUAGGACAGACCCCUGCCCUUCCCCCCCAGCCUCUGCUUGAACCAACACCGAUCAGAGAAAAGACUUGCAGAGAGCAGUGAAGGGUGGUGGGAGACACCUAGACCCCUCCUGACAAGGGUGAUAGAAUUAAGGCGACUCCCGUAGCCACAUCUGCAUCAGAGAUGGGACAAGGAGGCAUCUCCAUUAGCACAGAGAAUGGAGAACAGAGAUUCCAAGGCAGGAACCGCACUGAACUCUGGGACCAGAAAAGCAGGGAAGCAUGGCAUCAUGGGGGAUCUCUGCUCCAGAUGUUAAUGGACAUACGCCAGCCCACAUCCAGCUCAGCAGUUAUCAGACUAAUUCUAGUCAUGAAUCCUUGACUGAUGUCCAAAAUAUUGAAGCAGCCUAAUUGCAUUGCGAGCUCCCUGGAAGGAACACCACCCAUAGCCAAGAGUGAUCAGCUCCUAUUGUCUAGCCUAAAGAAAACCCUUGAGUCAUCAGUUUACCCAUAAACAAAUCUAGUGUUCCCCCUUGAACCAUUGU